GAGUUGAUCCUGGUCAGGACGAACGCUGCAUGCUACUCAAUCGAGGGACUAAGAAAGGUUGAUGUAGGGGACGGUACAGUGCACCGCCCUCAAGCUGGACAACUACCGGAACGUGUAUACCGAAUAGUGUUUUUUUUCCUGAAGAAACUGAAAGACGGAGCAAUCUGUCACUUGGGGAUGGGCCUGCGGCGCAUUAGCUAGUUGGUGGGGUAACGGCUCACAAGGGACGAUGCGUAGCCGACCUGAGAGGGUGAUCGGCCACACUGGGACUGAGACACGGCCAGACUCCUACGGGAGGCAGCAGUAGGGAAUCUUCCGCAAUGGGCGAAAGCCUGACGGAGCAAUGCCGCGUGAGUGAUGAAGGUUUUCGGAUCGUAAAGCUCUGUUGCCAGGGAAGAACGCUUGGGAGAGUAACUGCUCUCAAGGUGACGGUACCUGAGAAGAAAGCCCCGGCUAACUACGUGCCAGCAGCCGCGGUAAUACGUAGGGGGCAAGCGUUGUCCGGAAUUAUUGGGCGUAAAGGCGGUGUUUAUCCGGGGUCAACCCCGUCCUGGAAACUGGGUGACUUGAGUGCAGAAGAGGAGAGGAUGACGAAAUGCGUAGAUAUGUGGAGGAACACCAGGCGAAGGCGACU
rnacentral:rRNA from 1 species